GGUGUUGCCUGGUGACCUGUCAGAAACCCAUUAUACAGAGUCAGCCAAAAUAAUGUUUACACACAUCAGGAAAAGAAAAAAUUGCAUAAAUAUUUCAAUACCACGAGAUCACGAUCAUCACGAGAUUAAUAAAAGUUAUCUUUGGCCUCUACAAUUAUAAGAGGUGCUCAAAGUGGUGGCCACUGGCUUCAUAACUUUCUAAUUUUUAUUCCAGUCUUGGUUGAAAAUAGAAACUCUGUAUUGAUUCAGGUAAAAACUGAACUUCACAGCAUGUUGGAGCAAAACAACCAGAUGAAAACUGUGAUGGUGUUGGAUUGUCAGACUGUAAUGUUGCAGCUCAAAGCAGCUUUUCUAUCUCAGUUCAUUCUGACAUUCAGCUAUGAAUCAACACAGCAGAUGGUGAUCCAUGCUGUGGAAGUCUCACAUCUCCUGAUUUAAUGGAGCUGCUUUGCACUUUUUACACUGUUUAUUCACCAACACUUUAUUUAAUAAAAGUCCCAUCUAGUUUUUAUGAGGAAUGUGAUGUUUUAAUUUCUCUGUGAAUAACUGCAGUCUAAUGCAACAGCUGGAGUUGUAACAUCUGUCCUGAUAUUGAUCAUGAAAUAUUGAUCAGAAUACUUAUGUUAGCAGUCAUCCCUGAAGUUUUACAUUAAAAUCUUUACUUGUGUUGUGAACUUUGGUAAGAAGCAGAAACGUUAGCGUUGCCAUGGAUACAUGAGUGUUAAAUUCUGUCCAUGUUUCCAUUUUGGGAAAUGCAGUCCAGUUCCAGAAUGUGGAGGAAUUUAGUCUCACAAUCACAGACGACAAAUAUUAUCUGAAAGUCGGGUUAUUGUUGUUUAUCAGCACUAUACAAAAAGAUUAAUGUUAGAAAUAUUCCAGUUAAGACUCUAGAAUAUCAUGAUUUAUGUAAAUUUACCUCAAUAAUAUGAAUGUUCAGGUUAAGAUUGUACAGUGAUAUUAUGUAAGUUUAGCUGAUUGAAGUUUAUGACUCUGCACUAAAAUAUUAUUUAAAUUGACAUCAUUAUUAUAACAUAUAGGGUCAGACCCUACAGUAUUGAGAUUAAGAAAUCAAAUAUUCUAUAAAAUGUAAAUACACUGAACUCAUUUGGAUAUAUUUAAGUGAAUGAUACAAUAUUAUUUGACACAAAUCUAUCUAAAUCAAAAUUUUAAUAAUUUUCACGCCAAACAUUUACUGGAUUGAUUUAAAUAUUAAAAUCACUCCUUUCUAAUCCUCUGCUGUACGUUCAAACCUGAGGCCUUAAAUAGAAACACACAAGUAUCUGUUUGAAGGAACUUCUGCAGAGUCCUGGUUCCAGAACAUGAUGAUAGAAUUAUAGACAAACUUUAACAAAAGCUGCCUGAGAGUUUACAGGUUUUUAUGUUGGAUUUCUUCAGUAAUUUAAUGAGCGUUAGCAGCAAAAAUCAAGUGUUCAUUUGAUGAACUUCAUUUCCUAAAACAUCCAGAAUUGGAGCUCAUAUCUUUGGCAGCUGGAAAGUUUCUGCUCCUUCAAAGUUCACAACACAAUGAAUGAAUUCCUAAAACACUCUCAAUGCUGAAGCAGUGAUCAGUUUUUCUGUUUCUUCUCUGGAGAUGCACAAUGAGGGACGUCUGCAGCGACUGAGAGUCUCACCACAUCCUGACAUGAGGAAAAAGACUUUAUUGAAGACUACAAUGAGAAAAACUAUCAGACAGCAGACGGCUGCAUUUAAGAGAAGAAGACCAUCAAACAUCCACGUCAGCUGAUGGAGGUCCAAGAGUCUCACUGAACAACCAACCUACAGAGUGAAGACCUCAAAUCUGAUUGGACGGCCUCCUAUUCAGCCACAUGUGUGAACAAAUGCCUCUAAGCUGAUUUGUUUUCUAAAAUAAAUCUAGUUUGAGUCCUAAUCUAUGCCUGUGUGUUUGCUUCUUUACAGCGCUGUUAACAGUUUAGGCUGUUAGAUUGUUCCAGAUAAGACAAGUAGAAGAUUCUUCAGAGCCGUUCUACCACGAGCCUGACAGGAAGAACUCCAACAGCUACUGAAUGUUCCUGUGGUCCCCUCAAGGCUACAGGAGGAGCCCUACGAGGACGAGCCGGUCCACCUGAUGGCGGCCAGUUGCUGCAGUUCAAAGCCAACACCGACUACGUGGACUUCUACUGGACCACACGGAGGCCUUCAAACCGGACCAACAAGUUCACGACUCCCCGACUCGUGGGUCUGAGGACACCGCCGAGCCUCGGCCCAGCCGGCCUCUUGUCUGUGGGUGUUUGAGUGCUGAGAGGUUUAUGGAUGUAAGUGAACGUGUCUGUGUUGAAACAGCAGCUUUUGACUCACUAACACCGCUAAAAACCAAGAGCUCCUUUAUUUGUGACUUCCACUAAAAAAACUGAUGAAAAUAAGUUUGCCAGGGUUCUGACUGAUCACAGAUUAUUAAAUCAUGGAAAUAAUUGUUUAAAUAUUCCUUUAAACAAUCCUGUUAGGUCUACAUUUCCUUUACACUGACUUCUUGGUAUAUGUACAAGUAUUUUGGGUGGAAUAUACCAUUAAGCCUGAUGUUCAAGGGUUCUUCGGGGAAUAUACCAUUAAACCAACCUUUUAGGUAAAUGUUCCAGGAUGUUGGGUAGAAUAUACCAUCAGAUCCACCUUUUAGGUCUACAUUGGAAGAUUUUAGAGUAGAUUAUUACUCCAAACCAUCCUUUAGGUCUACAUUUACGGUGGAAUACUCCUUUACACCAAGAUUUUUUUUUGGUCUACAUUGAAGGAUUUUAGGUGGAAUAUUCCUUUGAACGAACUUUUUAAGUUUAUGUUCAAGGAUGUUGGGUGGAAUAUACCAUCAGACCAACCUCCAAGGUCUACAGUAGUGAAUUUUAGGUAGAAUAUACCAUUAAACUCACCUUUUAGGUCUACAUUGGAGGAUUUUAGGUGGAAUUUUCUUCCAAACCAUCUUUUAGUCUACAUUUAAGGAUGUUUAGGAUGGUAUAUUCUUCUGAACCAACUUCUCAGGUCUACAUUUCAGGUGGAAUAUUCCUCCAUACUAACUUUUUUGGUCUACAUUGAAGGAUUUUUUCUAAACCACCCUUUCAGGUCUAUAUUUGAUGUUUUAGGUGGAAUAUUCCUUUUAACCAGCCCCUCAGGUCUCUUUGAGGAUUUUGGAUGGAAUACUCGGUUAAACCAACAUUUUAGGUGCAUGUCCAAGGAUUUUUGGUGGAAUGUUCCUUUAAGGUGGAUGUUUGAGGACCUUGUAGGUGGAAUACUUCCUGAAACCAACCUUUUAGGUCAACAUUCAAAGGUUUAAGGGGGAAUAUUCCUUUAAACCAACCUAAAUUUCAUGUUUUGAUCAUUAUCAAGUGAGAAACCUCAAUCCAGACUCCUCAUAAUGACAUUUGAGAUUUAUGCUGCUGUUAUUUGUUUAGUCCAGACUAAAUGACAGAAAUCCACAACUGUAAUUUUAUUUCAGGACUCGGUUAAUAAAUGUCAAAACAAUCCAUGUGACUAAAAACUCAACAGCUGUACAAACUCUAAGAUUAAACUCUCCACAAGGAUCCAAAAUAAGUUGGACUUCUACAUGAGAGCUUUAAUUAUUCUUCAUCUACUUCCUGAAAAGUUUGGUCAAUAAAAAAGACAAAAACUAAUAUUUUCAGCUGAACUAAAGACAGACUUUGUGAUUUUUCUGCUCACAUGUUGUGUUGUUGUAAACUUCCUCUUUCAAAUAAAUAUCCUCCUAACCCCCUGGAAA